rnacentral:rRNA from 1 species
UCCAGACUCCUACGGGAGGCAGCAGUGGGGGAUAUUGCACAAUGGGGGGAACCCUGAUGCAGCGACGCCGCGUGGGUGAAGGAGCGUUUCGGCGCGUAAAGCCCUAUCGGCAGGGAAGAAGGAGGACGGUACCUGACUAAGAAGCCCCGGCUAACUACGUGCCAGCAGCCGCGGUAAUACGUAGGGGGCAAGCGUUAUCCGGAUUUACUGGGUGUAAAGGGGGCGCAGACGGCAGCGCAAGCCAGGAGUGAAAGCCCGGGGCCCAACCCCGGGACUGCUCUUGGAACUGCGCGGCUGGAGUGCAGGAGGGGCAGGCGGAAUUCCUGGUGUAGCGGUGAAAUGCGUAGAUAUCAGGAGGAACACCGGUGGCGAAGGCGGCCUGCUGGACUGCGACUGACGUUGAGGCUCGAAAGCGUGGGGAGCAAACAGGAUUAGAUACCCCCGUAC